rnacentral:rRNA from 1 species
UACGGAGGGUGCAAACGUUGCUCGGAAUCAUUGGGCGUAAAGCGCACGUAGGCGGCCUGAUAAGUCGGGUGUGAAAGCCCUGGGCUCAACCCAGGAAGUGCACUCGAAACUGUCAGGCUUGAAUAUGGAAGAGGGUCGCGGAAUUCCCGGUGUAGAGGUGAAAUUCGUAGAUAUCAGGAGGAACACCAGUGGCGAAGGCGGCUUUCUGGACGGUAACUGACGCUGAGGCGCGAAAAGCGUGGGGGAGCAAACAGG